rnacentral:misc_RNA from 1 species
UCCGCUUUACAGCGGCAGUUUGUUCCGAGCCCCCGACUUUACUCGCUGGUAACAGAACAUGAGGGUUGCGCUCGUUGCGGGACUUAACCCAACAUUUCACAACACGAGCUGACGACAGCCAUGCACCACCUGUGCUCCACCCUCGAAGGCGACCACUUUUCGGUGGCUUGCAGAAGCAUGUCAAGCCUGGGUAAGGUUCUUCGCGUUGCAUCGAAUUAAGCCACAUGCUCCACCGCUUGUGCGGGCCCCCGCCAAUUCCUUUGAGUUUCAACCUUGCGGCCGUAGUCCCCAGGUGGAUCACUUAAUGCGUUAGCUGCGGCACCGAGGAGAACCCCGACACCUAGUGAUCAUCGUUUACGGUGUGGACUAC